GUUGAAUCUGUGUGCCACGCUGUCGGUUCACCGCUCGCGGUGUUUAACUGGCAUGAUUGUGGGACGUCCUACCGGUGGAUUUAGCUGUACGCAAGUAUGGCGGUCCAACUAAUAUCCCAUCGCGGUGCUCUUUACCGGGUGUCGAGGUGGGCCGGUACGUUUACUUUGAACAAAUUAGAGUGCUUAAAGCAGGCUCAUUUCGCCUGAAUAUUGUGUGCAUGGAAUAAUGGAAUAGGACCUCGGUUCUAUUUUGUUGGUUUUCGGAACUCCGAGGUAAUGAUUAAUAGGGACAGAUGGGGGCAUUCGUAUUGCGACGUUAGAGGUGAAAUUCUUGGAUCGUCGCAAGACGAACAGAAGCGAAAGCAUUUGCCAAAAAUGUUUUCAUUAAUCAAGAACGAAAGUUAGAGGUUCGAAGGCGAUCAGAUACCGCCCUAGUUCUAACCAUAAACGAUGCCAGCUAGCGAUCCGCCGAAGUUCCUCCGAUGACUCGGCGGGCAGCUUCCGGGAAACCAAAGCUUUUGGGUUCCGGGGGAAGUAUGGUUGCAAAGCUGAAACUUAAAGGAAUUGACGGAAGGGCACCACCAGGAGUGGAGCCUGCGGCUUAAUUUGACUCAACACGGGAAACCUCACCAGGCCCGGACACCGGAAGGAUUGACAGAUUGAUAGCUCUUUCUUGAUUCGGUGGGUGGUGGUGCAUGGCCGUUCUUAGUUGGUGGAGCGAUUUGUCUGGUUAAUUCCGAUAACGAACGAGACUCUAGCCUGCUAAAUAGGCGUACUUUAUGGUAUCUCGAAGGCCAUUCCGUUCUUCACGGGGCGGAUGGUUUNUACUACCGACGUACAAACAAAUCUUCUUAGAGGGACAGGCGGCUUCUAGCCGCACGAGAUUGAGCAAUAACAGGUCUGUGAUGCCCUUAGAUGUUCUGGGCCGCACGCGCGCUACACUGAAGGAAUCAGCGUGUCUUCCCUGGCCGAGAGGCCCGGGUAACCCGCUGAACCUCCUUCGUGCUAGGGAUUGGGGCUUGCAAUUAUUCCCCAUGAACGAGGAAUUCCCAGUAAGCGCGAGUCAUAAGCUCGCGUUGAUUACGUCCCUGCCCUUUGUACACACCGCCCGUCGCUACUACCGAUUGAAUGAUUUAGUGAGGUCUUCGGACUGGUGCGCGGCAAUGUUUCGGCAUUGCCGAUGUUGCUGGGAAGAUGACC
rnacentral:rRNA from 1 species